UACGGAGGGUGCAAGCGUUGCUCGGAAUUAUUGGGCGUAAAGGGUAGGUAGGUGGUCUUAUUUGUCUGAGGUGAAACCCUUGGGCUUAACUCAAGAAGUGCCUCAGAAACGGUGAGACUAGAGUCCUGGAGAGGGUCGUGGAAUUCCCGGUGUAGCGGUGAAAUGCGUAGAGAUCGGGAGGAACACCAGAGGCGAAAGCGGCGGCCUGGACAGGAACUGACACUCAACUACGAAAGCGUGGGGAGCAAACAGG
rnacentral:rRNA from 1 species